rnacentral:rRNA from 1 species
AAGUAAAAGUCGUAACAAGGUUUCCGUAGGUGAACCUGCGGAAGGAUCAUUAUUGAAAUAAAUCUGAUGAGUUGCUGCUGGUUCUCUAGGGAGCAUGUGCACACUUGUCAUCUUUAUAUCUCCACCAGUGCACCUUUUGUAGACUUGGAUCUCUCUCUGAAUGCUAGUCACUCAGGUUUGAGGAUUGACUUAAUGUCUGUCCUUACAUUUCCAGGCCUAUGUUCUUCAUAUACCCCAAUGUAUGUUAUAGAAUGUAAUCAAUGGCCUUUGUGCCUAUAAACCUAUACAACUUUCAGCAACGGAUCUCUUGGCUCUCGCAUCGAUGAAGAACGCAGCGAAAUGCGAUAAGUAAUGUGAAUUGCAGAAUUCAGUGAAUCAUCGAAUCUUUGAACGCACCUUGCGCUCCUUGGUAUUCCGAGGAGCAUGCCUGUUUGAGUGUCAUUAAUAUAUCAAUCUCUUCAGCUUUUGGCUUGUUGAGUGUUGGAUGUGGGGGUUUUUUUUGCUGGUCUUCUCAGAUCAGCUCCCCUGAAAUGYAUUAGCAGAACAAUUUGUGGAUCGUUCAUUGGUGUGAUAACUAUCUACGCUAUUGACGCGAAGCAGUUCAGCUUCUAACAGUCCAUUGACUUGGACAAAUUUCAUUAAUGUGACCUCAAAUCAGGUAGGACUACCCGCUGAACUUAAGCAUAUCAAUAAGCGGAGGAAAAGAAACUAACAAGGAUUCCCCUAGUAACUGCGAGUGAAGCGGGAAAAGCUCAAAUUUAAAAUCUGUCAGUCUUUGGCUGUCCGAGUUGUAAUCUAGAGAAGUGUUAUCCGCGCUGGACCGUGUACAAGUCUCCUGGAAUGGAGCGUCAUAGAGGGUGAGAAUCCCGUCUUUGACACGGACUGCCAGGGCUUUGUGAUACGCUCUCAAAGAGUCGAGUUGUUUGGGAAUGCAGCUCAAAAUGGGUGGUAAAUUCCAUCUAAAGCUAAAUAUUGGCGAGAGACCGAUAGCGAACAAGUACCGUGAGGGAAAGAUGAAAAGAACUUUGGAAAGAGAGUUAAACAGUACGUGAAAUUGCUGAAAGGGAAACGCUUGAAGUCAGUCGCGUUGUCCAGGGAUCAGCCUUGCUUUUGCUUGGUGUACUUUCUGGUUGACGGGUCAGCAUCAAUUUUGACUGUUGGAAAAAGGUCAGGGGAAUGUGGCAUCUUCGGAUGUGUUAUAGCCCUUGGUUGCAUACAAUGGUUGGGAUUGAGGAACUCAGCACGCCGCAAGGCCGGGUAACUAUUACCACGUACGUGCUUAGGAUGC